AACGCUGGCGGCGUGCCUAAUACAUGCAAGUCGAGCGAACAGACGAGGAGCUUGCUCCUCUGACGUUAGCGGCGGACGGGUGAGUAACACGUGGAUAACCUACCUAUAAGACUGGGAUAACUUCGGGAAACCGGAGCUAAUACCGGAUAAUAUAUUGAACCGCAUGGUUCAAUAGUGAAAGACGGUUUUGCUGUCACUUAUAGAUGGAUCCGCGCCGCAUUAGCUAGUUGGUAAGGUAACGGCUUACCAAGGCGACGAUGCGUAGCCGACCUGAGAGGGUGAUCGGCCACACUGGGACUGAGACACGGUCCAGACUCCUACGGGAGGCAGCAGUAGGGAAUCUUCCGCAAUGGGCGAAAGCCUGACGGAGCAACGCCGCGUGAGUGAUGAAGGUCUUCGGAUCGUAAAACUCUGUUAUUAGGGAAGAACAAAUGUGUAAGUAACUAUGCACGUCUUGACGGUACCUAAUCAGAAAGCCACGGCUAACUACGUG
rnacentral:rRNA from 1 species